GCGAUGAAGGACGUGCUAAUCUGCGAUAAGCGUCGGUAAGGUGAUAUGAACCGUUAUAACCGGCGAUUUCCGAAUGGGGAAACCCAGUGUGUUUCGACACACUAUCAUUAACUGAAUCCAUAGGUUAAUGAGGCGAACCGGGGGAACUGAAACAUCUAAGUACCCCGAGGAAAAGAAAUCAACCGAGAUUCCCCCAGUAGCGGCGAGCGAACGGGGAGCAGCCCAGAGCCUGAAUCAGUGUGUGUGUUAGUGGAAGCGUCUGGAAAGGCGCGCGAUACAGGGUGACAGCCCCGUACACAAAAAUGCACAUGCUGUGAGCUCGAUGAGUAGGGCGGGACACGUGGUAUCCUGUCUGAAUAUGGGGGGACCAUCCUCCAAGGCUAAAUACUCCUGACUGACCGAUAGUGAACCAGUACCGUGAGGGAAAGGCGAAAAGAACCCCGGCGAGGGGAGUGAAAAAGAACCUGAAACCGUGUACGUACAAGCAGUGGGAGCACGCUUAGGCGUGUGACUGCGUACCUUUUGUAUAAUGGGUCAGCGACUUAUAUUCUGUAGCAAGGUUAACCGAAUAGGGGAGCCGAAGGGAAACCGAGUCUUAACUGGGCGUUAAGUUGCAGGGUAUAGACCCGAAACCCGGUGAUCUAGCCAUGGGCAGGUUGAAGGUUGGGUAACACUAACUGGAGGACCGAACCGACUAAUGUUGAAAAAUUAGCGGAUGACUUGUGGCUGGGGGUGAAAGGCCAAUCAAACCGGGAGAUAGCUGGUUCUCCCCGAAAGCUAUUUAGGUAGCGCCUCGUGAAUUCAUCUCCGGGGGUAGAGCACUGUUUCGGCAAGGGGGUCAUCCCGACUUACCAACCCGAUGCAAACUGCGAAUACCGGAGAAUGUUAUCACGGGAGACACACGGCGGGUGCUAACGUCCGUCGUGAAGAGGGAAACAACCCAGACCGCCAGCUAAGGUCCCAAAGUCAUGGUUAAGUGGGAAACGAUGUGGGAAGGCCCAGACAGCCAGGAUGUUGGCUUAGAAGCAGCCAUCAUUUAAAGAAAGCGUAAUAGCUCACUGGUCGAGUCGGCCUGCGCGGAAGAUGUAACGGGGCUAAACCAUGCACCGAAGCUGCGGCAGCGACACUAUGUGUUGUUGGGUAGGGGAGCGUUCUGUAAGCCUGUGAAGGUGUACUGUGAGGUAUGCUGGAGGU
rnacentral:rRNA from 1 species